rnacentral:rRNA from 1 species
GACGAACGCUGGCGGCGUGCUUAACACAUGCAAGUCGAACGCUGAAGCUCAGCUUUUGUUGGGUGGAUGAGUGGCGAACGGGUGAGUAACACGUGAGUAACCUGCCUCCUUCUUUGGGAUAACGCCCGGAAACGGGUGCUAAUACUGGAUAUUCACUGGUCUUCGCAUGGGGGUUGGUGGAAAGGGUUUUUCUGGUGGGGGAUGGGCUCGCGGCCUAUCAGCUUGUUGGUGGGGUGAUGGCCUACCAAGGCUUUGACGGGUAGCCGGCCUGAGAGGGUGACCGGGCACAUUGGGACUGAGAUACGGCCCAGACUCCUACGGGAGGCAGCAGUGGGGAAUAUUGCACAAUGGGCGAAAGCCUGAUGCAGCGACGCCGCGUGAGGGAUGGAGGCCUUCGGGUUGUGAACCUCUUUCGCUCAUGGUCAAGCCGCAACAAUGGUUGUGGUGAGGGUAGUGGGUAAAGAAGCGCCGGCUAACUACGUG